GCCGAGCUCCACCGCCUAGCCAUCAUCUUCUUCCCCCGGGAUCGAAGUUUCCCCCAAGUGUCCUCAAGUUCUUCAUCCUCUACUUCAAGAACAAGGUCAAGCCCGAGCUCAAGCUUCCCCAAGGCCGCUCUACUCCAGCUUGUGGCACCUCACCGGAGCCCUAGCCAUCGCCGGUGAGCCUUAGCAGGAGCCCGUCUUUGGGUACUUCUACCCCGUGGACGGUGGAGCGGAUGAGAGCUGAAGGCCGGUGGUUGAAGUAGAGCACUAUCUCCAUAUAGUGUUCUCUUCUGGGUUGUAUCCGUAGAGACAUAAUUAAAUAUUUUCGCUGCAAAACUCUGAACUUGUAAUGUAGUCGUUUGAAUCUAUUUAUGUAAGAGACUUCUAUGUA